rnacentral:tRNA from 1 species
GGGCUGUUGGUCUAGUGGUAUGAUUCUCGCUUAGGGUCCACCCUACAGCUUCUGCAUGCGAGAGGUCCCGGGUUCAAUCCCCGGAUAGCCCC